GUGGGGAAUUUUGGACAAUGGGCGCAAGCCUGAUCCAGCAAUGCCGCGUGCAGGAAGAAGGCCUUCGGGUUGUAAACUGCUUUUGUACGGAACGAAACGGUCCGGGUUAAUACCCUGGGCUAAUGACGGUACCGUAAGAAUAAGCACCGGCUAACUACGUGCCAGCAGCCGCGGUAAUACGUAGGGUGCAAGCGUUAAUCGGAAUUACUGGGCGUAAAGCGUGCGCAGGCGGUUUUGUAAGACAGGCGUGAAAUCCCCGGGCUCAACCUGGGAAUUGCGCUUGUGACUGCAAGGCUGGAGUGCGGCAGAGGGGGAUGGAAUUCCGCGUGUAGCAGUGAAAUGCGUAGAUAUGCGGAGGAACACCGAUGGCGAAGGCAAUCCCCUGGGCCUGCACUGACGCUCAUGCACGAAAGCGAGGGGAGCAAAAGGGAUUAGAUACCCUGGUAGUCC
rnacentral:rRNA from 1 species